rnacentral:rRNA from 1 species
UACGUAGGGGGCUAGCGUUGUCCGGAUUUAUUGGGCGUAAAGAGCGUGUAGGCGGCCAGGUAGGUCUGCUGUGAAAACUCGAGGCUCAACCUCGAGAUGUCGAUGGAAACCGUCUGGCUAGAGUCCGGAAGAGGAGUGUGGAAUUCCUGGUGUAGCGGUGAAAUGCGCAGAUAUCAGGAAGAACACCUAUGGCGAAGGCAGCACUCUGGGACGGUACUGACGCUGAGGAGCGAAAGCGUGGGGAGCGAACAGG